rnacentral:tmRNA from 1 species
GGGGCUGACUGGUUUUGACAGCGGGUAGAAGAGGUAUGUAAGCAUGUAGAGCGUUGUUCGUGCAGCUCUCAAAUCUCAACGGUCAAACUAUAAUUGGCGAAAACAAUUACGCUCUCGCUGCCUAAUCGAAUAAAGUAGAACAGGCUUAAUCCCGGCAUUAGAUGCUGGGACGUGACAUUACCCGAGUGCUAACGCCCUGAAGCGGCUCGAAUCGGUAGUGCAAGUAAAUUAGGGCUAGCAGAGAGGAGGCUCCGGUUUCUCUGUGAAGCUAAAGGAGAUAAGAGAUGAAUAGGCGGCCUUUGGUCAGUUCUUCUUCGAAAACCAA